UCCCUGGUAGCUCAGUUGGUAAAGUAUCUGCCUGCAAUGCAGGAGACCCUGGUUCGAUUCCUGGGUUGGGAA
rnacentral:tRNA from 1 species